GUAAUUAACGCCCCCCUCGAUUUAGCGAGUUUGGAAAACACGGUCGAAGGUACAUCUCGAGUGUCAACUCCAGGAUGACGCUGUAUUCAGCAGAGCCAAAAUGGAAAACACCUGUGGUGAUCCUGGUGAUGCUUUGUCUGCUAGGAAAACGUCUCAACAUCUGGUUUCAUCUGAAGACUGCAGAUGGUUCCUUGUCCUUUUCUCUCACAAUCCAAUUAUGAUUGAAGAAAAGCAAGGUAGACUUUAAAGGGAAUGUUGGAACUUUCCAAGGCUGCUCCUGGAACUCUCUGCUUCCACUGAGGGCUUUGAUUUUAAUGAUAUCUCAAGGCCUGUCGUCUCCUGUGUUGUUUGGAUGGAGAUGAACACAGUCUUUUGAGAUGACCUCACAGGUUCAGAAUAAGUAGCAGUCCUGUGCGAUGAUUCGACCCAUAGGUCCUGAAGAACGGAAAAGACCUCUAAUGGUUUUUUAUUUAUUGUGUUAAGCUCCCACACUCAAAGACCAACACUAGAAAGAUAACAUUUCCUAUUGUUUAUAUCUGACAGUAAUGUCUUGCAGAUGUGUAUUCCAUUCAGUUGUGUGUUUUAAAACAUUGUGUAAAGUUAGUGAGUGCUGUAUG
rnacentral:lncRNA from 1 species